CGAAAUGCGACGAAAUUUGACGUGCUAGAUUCGCGACUUCGAGAAGAAGAUUCUGAGCCCAAGAUCGCGAUUUUUGGAGCAGGUUCCAGCGUCGACGUUUCGUAUUCUGGCCCGUUCUCUGCGUAGGAGCGUCGGAAUUCAGCGAAACCUGGGCCAUUGGAUUCGUGACUUCGAGACGAAGCUUCAGGACCCUUGUUUGCUGAAUUUGGAUAAGGUUAGCUUGGUCGGAUUUAACGCUUUCUUCGCUGCCAGGAGUUGCUUGAGAGAGCCACAGGUUUCGGCUGCUGCACCUUCCGCGGAUCAGGAUCGAGGCAAGGGC